rnacentral:snRNA from 1 species
AAGGGUAAAAGCUCGUUUG